ACAUUAUCUAUUCUAUUAAACCCUGAUAAACAUAAACCUGCAAGAGGAGAUAAGUCGUAACAAGGUAAGUGUACUGGAAAGUGCACUUGGAUAAUACAAAAUGUAGCUUAACUAAAGCUCUUAGUUUACACCUAAAAGAUUUCAAACAAGAUUGAACAUUUUGAAACCAAGCAUAGCCCAAAUUUUAGACCUAUUUUAAAU